UCUUCGCUGGUCCAAUGGUUAGGAUUUCCGCUUUUCAGACAUUGAGCGCGGACGGUCGGAGUUCGAUUCUCCGGCGGAGAA